AGCACUUUUGCAUUUGUGUUUUCCUCUGCCUUCGGCUUGCUGCACCCUGACCCAGUCCAACCUGCAACAGCCCAGAGCAAACGGAUCCGCUUGGCCACAUGAGCUCACAGUGGAUUUACAUACAGAGCAGAAUCAGUUUGUAUCGAUGAGCAGCUGUUGCUGAGAGAGUGGAGUACAGCAGAGAGCAGAGUGUCAUCAUUCUGCAUUUUGCAUUCUUGGGGGUGGGGAGUAAGUGAGGACGAUUAGAGAAGUGAUGGUGGUUGGGAUCUAUAUUUAGCCUGUCGUGACCCCCUUGCACUGCAACAGCUGUCCCUCCUCUUCGUCUCGCCAUGCAGUGUCAGGAAUCGAGGAGUCCAGUCAACCUGUGAGGGACGUGAACUCGUCGGAUCUCCCCUUUGUCUCUCUGUCUCUUUGUGGUGGCUUCUUCGAACUUGUCUUGUGGAUCGUUUUGAAAUACGGAGGGUAGGGAAGCCACACUGGCACUGAAGAACCAGCACAGAGGAGCUGAGUUUCUUUGUUCAGGUGUUACCCGAGUAGACUGUAUGGCAGUACUGAAGACGUAGCUCCCAAAAAAAGUGCUGUGCAGACGUUCUUACUUGAAGCUCGGUCCAAGGUUGACGUCUCCAAUACCAGAAUCUAUUGUGCUCGGAAUCUUAUCUCUUGGCUGUCACAUAUCGGCUCUCCCUGCCGUUCAUCCCCUGCUCCUCCUUAGCCAGCCCAGCCCAUGAGCGCAACGUCACCACCAUGGCUUUCUCAUCACGCUUUUCCUUCUGGGAGCAAAAGGAAAGUGGUGUUCCGUUCUCAAUUCUCCUUUCACUGCGCAGUGUGGUCCAA